rnacentral:rRNA from 1 species
GUGGGGAAUCUUGCGCAAUGGGCGAAAGCCUGACGCAGCCAUGCCGCGUGAAUGAUGAAGGUCUUAGGAUUGUAAAAUUCUUUCACCGGGGACGAUAAUGACGGUACCCGGAGAAGAAGCCCCGGCUAACUUCGUGCCAGCAGCCGCGGUAAUACGAAGGGGGCUAGCGUUGCUCGGAAUUACUGGGCGUAAAGGGCGCGUAGGCGGACAGUUUAGUCAGAGGUGAAAGCCCAGGGCUCAACCUUGGAAUUGCCUUUGAUACUGGCUGUCUUGAGUACGGGAGAGGUGAGUGGAACUCCGAGUGUAGAGGUGAAAUUCGUAGAUAUUCGGAAGAACACCAGUGGCGAAGGCGACUCACUGGCCCGUUACUGACGCUGAGGCGCGAAAGCGUGGGGAGCAAACAGGAUUAGAAACCCUGGGUAGUCC